rnacentral:lncRNA from 1 species
AAUGCCUUUUGCUCUGGCACUUUCACUUCCAUAUAGGUUGGAUUUUUCAUAGAAAAUCACCUAUCAACACUGAGUAGGCGAUUCCCACAGUCGAGUCGCCGACUCCCAUACUGAGUAGGUGAUUCCCACAGUUGAAUUGUCGAUUCGGUCAUCGUCUUCAUUCAUCGCUUCGGCUGAAUAAGACCACACUGAGUAGGCGAUUCCCACAGUUGAGUCGCCGACUCCCACACUGAAUAGGCGAUUCCCAUAGUUGAAUCGUCGAUUCGGUCAUUCGAUCAUCGUCUUCAUUCAUCGCUUCGGCUGAAUAAGACCACGCAUAGCCCAGCUCUUUUACCGAAACGAAAAUCCAUCGCCACGGUUGGAUUUACCUCGUCGUUUCGGUAAAAAAAA